rnacentral:rRNA from 1 species
CACGUAGGCACCAAGCGUUGUCCGGAUUUAUUGGGCGUAAAGAGCUCGUAGGCGGUUCGGUAAGUCGGGUGUGAAAACUCUGGGCUCAACCCAGAGCCGCCACCCGAUACUGCUGCGACUUGAGUGCGGUAGGGGAGCGGGGAAUUCCUGGUGUAGCGGUGAAAUGCGUAGAUAUUGGGAGGAACACCAGUGGCGAAGGCGGCUCACUGGACCGGUUCUGACGCUGAGGCGCGAAAGCGUGGGGAGCAAACGGG